rnacentral:lncRNA from 1 species
UCACAUCUUUAUAUAGAGAGAUGUUGUAUACUAAUGUUGAUGUAUAUAUCUCACUGAGUGAUUUUUCAUUGAAAUAAUUCUCUUUCUAGGGAAGUUGAUACACAAGUUAAAGAACCCCAGCCAACUUAUGUUAAUUUGAAAGAAUCCCACUCAAUAUACGGAGAGCAAGAUCAGAAUGUCACUGAGUGUUCAAAAUGCAGUCAAGAUACCUUACUUGAGGCAUUGCCACUUGAACGAUUGGAAGAUUUGUCCACUGGAAUAUGUGUUCUUCCGGACAGUAAGAAUAACAAGGUUGGUCCACCUGAACCUACUGAAAAGCUGAUCGAAGGUGAAAUCUCAAGUGAUCAUCUUAGCAAUAGCCUUUCAAGUUUUUUGGAAAAUGAGAAACUCUCAUCUCUUACAAACUCAGAAGAAGAUUCCACUGAUGAUGAUAUUGAUGAUGAAGAAUUCUUCGAUAACCAACUAGAAGCCUAUUUUGAGCAGAUGAUAAAACCAGAAAUGACAAGAGGAGGCAUCGACAUACAGAAACUCUCAGAAUGCUGUACAGCGCUGAAGCUUUCUGAAAAUGGUUUAUUUCAAGUAGGUUUAAAGUUCAAAGCUCAGCAUGCCCAGUGGCCCUUAAACAUGGUAGCAUUGUUG